rnacentral:rRNA from 1 species
AGUUUGAUCCUGGCUCAGAGUGAACGCUGGCGGCAGGCCUAACACAUGCAAGUCGAACGGCAGCACAGUAAGAGCUUGCUCUUAUGGGUGGCGAGUGGCGGACGGGUGAGGAAUACAUCGGAAUCUACUCUUUCGUGGGGGAUAACGUAGGGAAACUUACGCUAAUACCGCAUACGACCUACGGGUGAAAGCGGAGGACCUUCGGGCUUCGCGCGGUUGAAUGAGCCGAUGUCGGAUUAGCUAGUUGGCGGGGUAAAGGCCCACCAAGGCGACGAUCCGUAGCUGGUCUGAGAGGAUGAUCCCCCACACUGGUACUGAGACACGGACCAGACUCCUACGGGAGGCAGCAGUGAGGAAUAUUGGACAAUGGGUUAGCGCCUGAUCCAGCCACCCCGCGUGAAGGACGACGGCCCUAUGGGUUGUAAACUUCUUUUGUACAGGGAUAAACCUAUUUACGUGUAAAUAGCUGAAGGUACUGUACGAAUAAGCACCGGCUAACUCCGUGCCAGCAGCCGCGGUAA